rnacentral:rRNA from 1 species
GAUGAACGCUGGCGGCGUGCCUAAUACAUGCAAGUCGAGCGAACGGACGAGAAGCUUGCUUUUCUGAUGUUAGCGGCGGACGGGUGAGUAACACGUGGAUAACCUACCUAUAAGACUGGGAUAACUUCGGGAAACCGGAGCUAAUACCGGAUAAUAUUUUGAACCGCAUGGUUCAAAAGUGAAAGACGGUCUUGCUGUCACUUAUAGAUGGAUUCGCGCUGCAUUAGCUAGUUGGUAAGGUAACGGCUUACCAAGGCAACGAUGCAUAGCCGACCUGAGAGGGUGAUCGGCCACCCUGGAACUGAGACACGGUCCAGACUCCUACGGGAGGCAGCAGUAGGGAAUCUUCCGCAAUGGGCGAAAGCCUGACGGAGCAACGCCGCGUGAGUGAUGAAGGUCUUCGGAUCGUAAAACUCUGUUAUUAGGGAAGAACAUAUGUGUAAGUAACUGUGCACAUCUUGACGGUACCUAAUCAGAAAGCCACGGCUAACUACGUG